rnacentral:lncRNA from 1 species
GUCCUCAACCUUAAAACGUCUAUAGUAACUGCUCCAGCUCCCCUAACACAAAGCCUCUAUCCUUCUCCUCGUUUAAAAGUCUAUGAAAUACUCCUGUCAUCUCUUCUUAAUGUGAACAUCCUCCACCAGAACUCUACCAUCCUCCCCCUUAAUACACUUCACUUAAUCGAGAUCACGACCCUUCGUCUCCCUAGCCUUAGCACGCCAAUACAACCUUUUUUCCCCACCUUUCUCCUCUAACCCCGUAUACAAGCUAUCAAAAGCUGCCGUCUUAGCUAUCGUAACUGCUAACUUUUAACCUCUUUCCUUGCUACUUUGUAAACCUCCUUAUUCACUCGCUUCUCCUCUUCGUCUUUACUCUUAAUCAACUUAACAUACGCCCCUUUCUUAGUCUCUACUUUCUUCUUA